CAGGGGAAGGCGCAUUUGCCGUGACGGUGAAUUCGUGUAAAGGCACUGACAGGUGACAGGGUUCCAUGGACAACAAUUCUUCUCUCACUCAGCGAACAACACAAGAAGACUUUACAACCAUAAAAUCGCAUUGACCUGAUGCUUGUUGGCGCUAUGCGCAGCAGAAGAAGAGGCUAAACCUCCCGUCAGAUUGCAGACCUGGCCGCUGCGGAACACCAUAGAGGAAACGGUGGACAAAGCGAAUCUAGUGGAUACGGAAGGCGUCCUAGUGGACACGGCUGAUAUGGGGGACAUGGUGGAUACGACCAACAUGGAGCAUUUGGCCGAAAACGCGGCUCGGAUGGAGUGGACUUGUCGAUUGUUGAGAAUCGAGAACACUGAAAACCGAGGACACACUGGAUAUGUUGGCCGCGGAGAAUACAGUGGAUAAAAAGGAUGCACGAGCAGUAAUCGUAAAGGCCGCUCUGUCAAAGACGACGUCGUUGUAGACCAGAAAACCACUGAACAUCGUAAUGAAGGAUACGUUGGCUACGGUGGCAAUAUGGCGGAUGCAGUAGCUACGGUGGGUAUCCAGUGGCUAUGGUAACUAUACAGUCCCAGCAACUAUCGUCCUUAUGGAGGAUAUGGUUGGGGUCGCUUAAAUAGGGAAUAUUAUGAAAAUGAGUUACGUUCAGUAUGUUAACUCUGUUCAGUAAUCAUGACAUUCUGCACUCCUGUGAAAUAAAUUGAUAAAAAAAUA